UCGAACGUAAGAUGACUGUAGGUGAAAGCUUACAUCUCUUCGGAGCAUUUUACGAGGUGCUGCAUGGUUGUCGUCAGCUCGUGCCGUGAGGUGUCGGGUUAAGUCCCAUAACGAGCGCAACCCCUACCUUUAGUUGCCAUCAGGUUAAGCUGGGGACUCUAAAGGAACUGCCUACGCAAGUAGUGAGGAAGCGGGGAUGACGUCAAAUCAGCACGGCCCUUACGUCCAGGGCUACACACGUGCUACAAUGGCCGAUACAGAGGGCAGCUACCUGGUGACAGGAUGCAAAUCUCCAAAGUCGGUCUCAGUUCGGAUCGGAGUCUGCAACCCGACUCCGUGAAGUUGGAUUCGCUAGUAAUCGCGCAUCAGCCAUGGCGCGGUGAAUACGUUCCCGGGCCUU
rnacentral:rRNA from 1 species